UACGGAGGGGGCUAGCGUUGUUCGGAAUUACUGGGCGUAAAGCGCACGUAGGCGGCUUUGUAAGUUAGAGGUGAAAGCCCGGGGCUCAACCCCGGAAUUGCCUUUAAGACUGCAUCGCUAGAAUUGUGGAGAGGUAAGUGGAAUUCCGAGUGUAGAGGUGAAAUUCGUAGAGAUCCGGAGGAAUACCAGAGGCGAAAGCGGCACCCUGGGUCUGACCUGACGCUGAUCCGCGACAGCAUGGGGAGCGAACGGG
rnacentral:rRNA from 1 species